rnacentral:rRNA from 1 species
UACGUAGGGGGCAAGCGUUGUCCGGAUUUAUUGGGCGUAAAGAGCGUGUAGGCGGCCAGAUAGGUCCGUUGUGAAACCUGGAGGCUCAACCUCGAGACGUCGGUUGAAACCGUAUGGCUAGAGUCCGGAAGAGGAGAGUGGAAUUCCCGGUGUAGCGGUGAAAUGCGCAGAUAUCGGGAAGAACACCCGUGGCGAAGGCGGCUCUCUGGGACGGUACUGACGCUGAGACGCGAAAGCGUGGGGAGCGAACAGG